GAGGGAGGGCAUUGCCAUUAGUAAGGAGUAGCACGCACGACUCCGAUGGUGCAGCUCAAAAGGCUACACAUUGAUCGAAUCAAUGUUGAGGCUUGGGUUACUUUUUAAUAGCAGGGAAGGCUCUCUAAGGUAGUUUCCAUUUAAUAGUUUCCAGGGAAGGAACCAACCGCUUUCUUGAUGCCAAAGGAGAGGGCAACGAUAAUCAAGGCACCGCAACAACAACAAACAGGCGCGCAAGCGGGCGACAGGCGCAGCCGCCACCCCGCUGCAGGCAAACCUUGGGAAAAGUCAUUGGGGGGACCUUCCCCCGCUUUGCAUUACUCCAACGCGGCAAGGGAGAUGAUGCCCCGCCACGGCCUCCUUCGACUUCCCCCUCUGCGCGCUCCCCCCCGCCGCUCACCUCCGCGUCCAGCUCCAUAUCCACCAGCUCCAUGUCGGGCCAAGGUUCCGCUCCCAGCUGAGCAAGCGGCAUCGCGGCUGUUUCCCCAAAGCCCCGACAAGGAAUGCUGCAAGUCCGGCUAAGAGAAUAUCUCGACCCCUCUCCUCCUCCUCCUCCAGCCGCGCGUUAGGCUGCGUCUCGAUCCGAGUGGUGCGCCGGCCAGCCAGGCACGCGCUGUACCCCAGCGCAGCCCUUCGCCUCUUCCACGCGGCCGCCUCCUCUUGCGCCCGGAGACUUUCUAUGCCGCUUGUGUCCCAACCAACCUCCUACUCCGCGUCGGACUCCAACCUCCCCGGGAAGGAGGAGCCGAACGCCGGCCCGGAGCGCCUUAUUGGUUGCUCGGCCUAGCGGGGAAGGUGAGGGCGGCUCCUCCUAAGGCAUUGGCGGACUCUCCGGCGCUUUGCCCGCUUGCUCCGGGGAAGGGCGGAAAGAGGAAGCCCGGCUCAUCGUAGCUUCUCCAGGUAGCAGUUUUGCCUCCGCCCCCCACCAAAAACUCUCGCCUUCGUAAAUUCCGGUUUAAGUCAUCCAUCUGCAAUCACGGCUGCCGCUCGUGCUUUAGCCGGCUGCGUGCGAUCCUAAAGUUACGUAUUAGUGAGUCAGCCUCCACCCACCUCCGCUGGACACAGUACGGGGCUUCCUUCCGAGUAAAAAUGCAAAGGAUUGCGCUGUUAAUGGCAGUCCGAUUCUAGCCAAACCGUGUUAACAAGAAAGCAAGUCCUGUUGAAUUCAUCGGAAGGUUACUCCCAUGUAAGGGAUCGCAGCUUGAAGGAUUAACAACCGCGUAGAACCGGUUACCGGUCUUUUGACCACGUGCAUGCCUUUGCUCCUCACGUGUUGUCUAAUCCGGAAACACUACCACAUGUUUAUAGGACUAACGUGAAUUAGGCUGUAGUCCUGUACAGAUUUAUCUGGGGAGUAAAUCCCUGUACGGCAGCCUUUCCAACAACAACAAAAGGAAGAAACAGGAAUUGUAAUAAUUAGCGGAACACAAUUUAUGGCAAAACGUAACUGACAGCCCAUUUGACAAAUCGAAAAAUGAAAUCUAAUCAGAUGAAAUCUAAUCUAAUCCCUAGUGGUUGAUGUAGGUCCUUUUUCCCAUUCAGUGGGAGCUCUUUUGGAUGUGGCAACACCACAUCUCCACUGAAGCCUAUUUUUUGGACAGGUGCCCACUUCUCUUUCUCACACUUUCAGAUGUGCCCACUAGCCCCAAAAGGCUGCUGACUCUGGUUUUAGCAGAUCUGGUCUCGCCUUAGUUUCUGCCUGGUAACCAGAUACCCAUUGCCAAUUUUUCCACAUAAAGUGGAAAGUGCUCCAUGGCCAAAGCUUAAAUCAGGAGUGGGGAACCUUUGGCCCUCUAGAUAUUGCUGAACUACAACUCCCAUCAGCCAUAGCGAGCAUUCAUUCAUAUAUAAAUUCAUUCAUUCACAUAUAAAACAUCAUAAAAACUUUAAAACAUAAAAACAGACUUUAAAAUAUAUUAGAACAAAACAUCUUUAAAAAGAUUUUUUAAAGCUUUACAAAAAUCUUUUUAAAAAGCAAAGAAAGCAUAGUCAAUGGCCAUGGGUGAUGGGAGCUGUAGUUCAGCAACAGCUGGCAGGCCAAAAGUUCUCCACACCUGGCUUAGAUGAAAGAAGCUGAGUCACAGGCUUCUUGAUGUGACACCCUCUAACCAGGAAUCCUUUCUUCUAAAGUCCCGGCUAUUUCAGGCCAGGGAUGAAGCAGGAGAUCAAUUUCCCACCUGCUCAGAGGACUCUAUUUACGUUCAUAUGUUCUAGUAGUGGCACUGAGACUGGUUCUGGUGCCAAGCCCUGGCUCAUAUACAGCCUAUAUCCAUGAGGCCUUCCCUCCCUGCCUUUACAGAGGUGGGGAACCUCAGGCUAGGAGGCCAAAUACUUUUCACUGGCCUUUCUGCAUGCCCUCCUUGAGUGCUUUUGCCUGGCUAGAAUGUGCUCUUGAACUAUGAUGAUAAUGCCUCUUAACAGACUAACAUGAACUAGCUACAAUAAUAGCCAACAAAAAAGAGAGAGGGAGAACACAACGGGAGCAUUACUGCCAUUCACAAGCAUGUCUGCUCCUUUGAUGUGAACGGAAAGGAGAAAACAGCUCUUGGAGACAUCAAAGAAUGCAAUAUUUAAAAAAAACAAAACCCCACAAGUGACACCAGCUGCUGCCUCUGGAGCAAAACAAGUGAAAUUCCAGGAUGGUCUGACUGUAAACAAAAAUGCAAAGAGUGAAGCGCCUGUCUAUGUGAAUCAGCGUGCUUGGAGAUGCUUUUCGAAUUGCUGCUGUAAAAAUGACAGUUGAUAAACCCAUGUUGGAGGGUUAAUGACAAUCUUUCCUUCAUCUCCUGAUUUUGAGUGACUCUUCCCGCUGCCCCAUGGGCAUACAAAGCGGGGCAAAAAAGAGGACAGGAGCUUGUGCACCUUUAAUAGCCACGUGAAAUAAUGGAUUUCAGUGGUGCAGCACCCUAAUAAGGCCUGACUGAGGGCAGCGUCCUAAGCAUAUUACCUUUUACUUAGUCUCCAUUUUUAUUUUAAGAAACUUAUCUUGUAUGAUGCAGUGAUGACAUGUGAUACACACACCACGUCAGGGAAGGAAGCAACCUGCCUGGUAGAUGUGUACCUCUUUCACCAUUCAGAAAAUCUGGAAUGAGGCACGUUACCAUUGUACAAAGAGCUCUGCUAGAUCAGAUCAAAGACCCAUUGAAGUCCUGCAUCAUGCCUCCCACAGGGGCCAACCAGAUUUCCUCCAGGAAUCCCACAGUCUGGAUAUGAAGGCAAUAGCCCUCUCCCAACUGUUAACCCCCCCUCAGUAACUGGGAUUAGGGUGAGGUUUUUAUGUUGCCUCUGUUUAGCCGUGGUGAGUGGGGUGGCUAGAUGGAAAAGAGGAUGGGGCUCCUGCACCUUUAAUUAUGGUGUAGAAAAGUUUAUUGCAGCAGGUGUUUUGCCUGACAAGUGACACCUGCUGAGAUUCCCUUUUCUACAAAAUUAUUAAAGGUGAGGGAUCCCUGCCCUCUUUUGCACCACGCCACUCUAAAAUUGGUGACUAAUAGCCAUCAAAAGACUCAUCCUCCACAAAUCCUCCUUUAGUAGCCAUCUUAGUAGAUCAGGUGUGGGGAACAUUUGGCCCUCCAGAUGUUGCUGAACUAUGACUCCCAUCA